CUUCGGGAGGCAGCCGUGGGGAAUUUUUCGCCAUGGGAGAAAAUUUGACGGAGCAACCCCGGGUGUACGAAGAAGGCUUUUGGGUUGUAAAAUUUUGUUUUCAGGGGCGAAAUGUAUUUAGGUUAAUAAAGUGGGUGCAAGGCGGUUCCUGAGGAGGAAGCCCCGGCUAACUUCGUGCCCGCCACCGCGGUAAUUCGGAGGGUGCAAGCCUUGUUCGGAAUCAUUGGGCGUAAAGGGCGGGUAGGCGGGUAAUUAAGUUUGGUGUGAAAACCUCGGGCUCAACCCCGGGAAUGCAUCGGAAACUGUCUAUCUUGAGUACAGGAGAGGAAAGUGGAAUUCCCAGUGUAGCGGUGAAAUGCGUAGAUAUUGGGAGGAACACCAGUGGCGAAGGCGACUUUCUGGACUGUAACUGACGCUGAGGCGCGAAAGCCUGGGGAGCAAACAGGAUUAGAUACCCCGGUAGUCCACGCCGUAAACGAUGAGUACUAGGUGUAGAGGGUAUCGACCCCUUCUGUGCCGCAGCUAACGCAAUAAGCACUCCGCCUG
rnacentral:rRNA from 1 species